rnacentral:rRNA from 1 species
AGUGAACGCUGGCGGUAGGCCUAACACAUGCAAGUCGAACGGCAGCACAGUAAGAGUUUGCUCUUACGGGUGGCGAGUGGCGGACGGGUGAGGAAUACAUCGGAAUCUACUUUUUCGUGGGGGAUAACGUAGGGAAACUUACGCUAAUACCGCAUAUGACCUACGGGUGAAAGCAGUGGAUCUUCGCACCUUUCGCGUUUGAAUUAGCUGAUGUCGGAUUAGCUAGUUGGCGGGGUAAAGGCCCACCAAGGCGACGAUCCGUAGCUGAUCUGAGAGGAUGAUAGGCCACACUGGAACUGAGACACGGUCCAGACUCCUACGGGAGGCAGCAGUGGGGAAUAUUAGGCAAUGGGCGCAAGCCUGAUCCAGCCAUACCGCGUGGGUGAAGAAGGCCUUCGGGUUGUAAAGCCCUUUUGUUGGGAAAGAAAAGCAGCAGGUUAAUACCCCGCUGUUCUGACGGUACCCAAAGAAUAAGCACCGGCUAACUUCGUG